GCAAACUUGGUCAUUUAGAGGAAGUAAAAGUCGUAACAAGGUCUCCGUUGGUGAACCAGCGGAGGGAUCAUUAUAGAGUUAUAAAAAACUCCCAAACCCAUGUGAACUUACCUUUGUUGCCUCGGCGGAGCCUACCCUGUAGUUACCCUGUAAGGGCCUACCCUGUAGCGCACCCCGCCGGUGGACAUUCAAACUCUUGUUAUUUUAAAUGAAUCUGAGCGUCUUAUUUUAAUAAGUCAAAACUUUCAACAACGGAUCUCUUGGUUCUGGCAUCGAUGAAGAACGCAGC
rnacentral:misc_RNA from 1 species